rnacentral:rRNA from 1 species
AUUGAACGCUGGCGGCAGGCUUAACACAUGCAAGUCGAGCGGGGUGAUGGUGCUUGCACUAUCACUUAGCGGCGGACGGGUGAGUAAUGCUUAGGAAUCUGCCUAUUAGUGGGGGACAACAUCUCGAAAGGGAUGCUAAUACCGCAUACGUCCUACGGGAGAAAGCAGGGGAUCACUUGUGACCUUGCGCUAAUAGAUGAGCCUAAGUCGGAUUAGCUAGUGGGUGGGGUAAAGGCCUACCAAGGCGACGAUCUGUAGCGGGACUGAGAGGAUGAUCCGCCACACUGGGACUGAGACACGGCCCAGACUCCUACGGGAGGCAGCAGUGGGGAAUAUUGGACAAUGGGGGGAACCCUGAUCCAGCCAUGCCGCGUGUGUGAAGAAGGCCUUAUGGUUGUAAAGCACUUUAAGCGAGGAGGAGGCUCUUUUGGUUAAUACCCAAGAUGAGUGGACGUUACUCGCAGAAUAAGCACCGGCUAACUCUGUGCCAGCCGCCGCAGUAA